UGGGGAAUAUUGGACAAUGGGCGAAAGCCUGAUGCAGCGACGCCGCGUGAGGGAUGACGGCCUUCGGGUUGUAAACCUCUUUCAGUAGGGAAGAAGCGAAAGUGACGGUACCUACAAAAGAAGCACCGGCUAACUACGUGCCAGCAGCCGCGGUAAUACGUAGGGUGCGAGCGUUGUCCGGAAUUAUUGGGCGUAGAGAGCUUGUAGGCGGCUUGUCGCGUCUGCUGUGAAAAUCCGGGACUCAACCCCGGACCUGCAGUGGGUACGGGCAGGCUAGAGUAUGGUAGGGGAGACCGGAAUUCCUGGUGUAGCGGUGAAAUGCGCAGAUAUCAGGAGGAGCACCGAUGGCGAAGGCAGGUCUCUGGGCCAUAACUGACGAUGAGAAGCGAAAGCAUGGGGAGCGAACA
rnacentral:rRNA from 1 species